rnacentral:rRNA from 1 species
GAUGAACGCUGGCGGCGUGCCUAAUACAUGCAAGUCGAGCGAACGGACGAGGAGCUUGCGUCUCUGUUGUUAGCGGAGGACGGGUGAGUAACACGUGGAUACCCUACCUAUCAGACUGGUAUAACCUCGGGACACGGGCUCUUAUCCCGGAUGAUAUUUUGAUCCGCGUUGUUCAAUAGUGAAUGUCGGUGUUGCUGUCACUUCUAGAUGGAUACCCGCUGCUUUAGCUAGUUGGUAAGGUAACGGGCUAUGAAGGGAACUAUGCAUAGCCGACGUGUGAGAGGGGUAGGCCACCUGGGAGCGGAGCCACGGUCCAGACGACUACGGUAGGCAGCAGUAGGGUAUCGUCCGCAAUGGUCGGAAGCCUGACGGAGCAACGCCGCGUGAGAUAUGAAGAUCCUCGGAGCGGAAAACUCUGUUAUGAGGGAAGAACAGCUUUGUAAGUAGCUGUAGACAGCGUGACGGUACCUAAUCAGAAAGCAACGGCUAACUACGUG